GGGGGUGUCAAGGUUUCGACUUGGGAACAAAGCAUGGGUGGCAUGUAGAGGACAAUCGUUGGCCUCUAAAAAUAUCCGAUUAAAAAGAAAAGAUAACUCAGAAAUAGAGUUGGCAGCUGCGGCCUAACGGUCGUAACUACCCGGUAGGCUGAGAUCAGACCGAGAGUUUCAGAUCUCUACCGUCAUACAUCUUGGUGUGAACCCCUUUUUCUUGAAUGAUCUUGGGGGGAGUUCGAGACAAAAAGAAAAUUCAUUCGGCCCCGAGCGCUUCGCCUUUCGGCAAGGCUGGAUUAUUUUAAGGCGAUAAGCAUGUAGUCAUCGAUGUAGAGUUUGCUAAGGACGAGAGUUCGAUUCUCUCCACCUCCAAAU
rnacentral:tmRNA from 1 species